rnacentral:rRNA from 1 species
UGAGGAAUAUUGGUCAAUGGGAGAGAUCCUGAACCAGCCAAGCCGCGUGAGGGAAGACGGCACUACGUGUUGUAAACCUCUUUUGCCGGGGAACAAAAAGCGGGGACGCGUCCCCGUCCGCGUGUACCCGGAGAAAAAGCAUCGGCUAACUCCGUGCC